UUACUUACCUGGCACGGGUUUUCGCAGCUCAAGAAUUGUGGAAACUCAGCUGUUUGUCUUUGCAUUGCACUGUAGCUCUGACGAACAGUUGCGGACUGGCUACGGUCAGAUCCGAGUGCAUCAUUUUUGAGUUCGUCUCUCAUAGGAGACAUC
rnacentral:snRNA from 1 species